GACGAACGCUGGCGGCGUGCUUAACACAUGCAAGUCGAACGGAAAGGCCCUGCUUGCAGGGUGCUCGAGUGGCGAACGGGUGAGUAACACGUGGGUGAUCUGCCCCUUACUUUGGGAUAAGCCUGGGAAACUGGGUCUAAUACUGGAUAGGACCAUGCUGUAGGUGGUGUGGUGGAAAGAUUAGUUUCGGUAAGGGAUGAGCUCGCGGCCUAUCAGCUUGUUGGUGGGGUAAUGGCCUACCAAGGCGUCGACGGGUAGCCGGCCUGAGAGGGUGGACGGCCACAUUGGGACUGCGAUACGGCCCAGACGCCUACGGGAGGCAGCAGUGGGGGAUAUUGCACAAUGGGCGCAAGCCUGAUGCAGCGACGCCGCGUGGGGGAUGACGGCCUUCGGGUUGUAAACUCCUUUCAGCCAUGACGAAGCCCUUGUGGUGACGGUAGUGGUAGAAGAAGCACCGGCUAACUACGUG
rnacentral:rRNA from 1 species